rnacentral:rRNA from 1 species
CCUGACUGCUAUCGGAUUGAUACUAAGCCAUGCGAGUCUUUGCAGUAAUGCAAGGCAUACGGCUCAGUAACACGUAGUCAACUUACCCUAUGGACGAGGAUAAUCUCGGGAAACUGAGCAUAAUACUCGAUAGAUCAUAAUGCCUGGAACGGUUUAUGGUUGAAAUGAUUCGUCGCCAUAGGAUAGGACCGCGGCCUAUCAGCUUGUUGGUGAGGUAAUGGCCCACCAAGGCGAUUACAGGUACGGGCUCUGAGAGGAGAAGCCCGGAGAUGGGUACUGAGACAAGGACCCAGGCCCUAUGGGGCGCAGCAGGCGAGAAAACUUUGCAAUGUGCGAAAGCACGACAAGGUUAAUCCGAGUGAUUUCUGCUAAAGAAAUCUUUUGCAAGUCAUAAAACCACUAGUGAAUAAGGGGUGGGCAAGUUCUGGUGUCAGCCGCCGCGGUAAAACCAGCACCUCAAGUGGUCAGGAGGAUUAUUGGGCCUAAAGCAUCCGUAGCCGGCUCUGUAAGUUUUCGGUUAAAUCCAUGUGCUCAACGCAUGGGCUGUCGAAAAUACUGCAUAGCUAGGGAGUGGGAGAGGUAGACGGUACUCGGUAGGAAGGGGUAAAAUCCUUUGAUCUAUCGAUGACCACCUGUGGCGAAGGCGGUCUACCAGAACACGUUCGACGGUGAGGGAUGAAAGCUGGGGGAGCAAACCGGAUUAGAUACCCGGGUAGUCCCAGCUGUAAACGAUGCAGACUCGAUGAUGCAUUGGCAUAUAGCCAGUGCAGUGUCGCAGGGAAGCCGUUAAGUCUGCCGCCUGGGAAGUACGUACGCAAGUAUGAAACUUAAAGGAAUUGGCGGGGGAGCACCACAAGGGGUGAAGCCUGCGGUUC